AACGCACAUUGCGGCCAUAGGUAUUCCUUUGGCCAUGCCUGUUCGAGCGUCAUUUACACCCUCAAGCCUAGCUUGGUGUUGGGCGUCUGUCCCGCCGUUUUCGCGCGCGGACUCGCCUCAAAGUCAUUGGCGGCGGUCGUGCCGGCCCCCUCGCGCAGCACAUUUGCGCUUCUCGGAGGCCCGGCGGAUCCGCGCUCCAGCAAGACCUUUCACGACUUGACCUCGGAUCAGGUAGGGAUACCCGCUGAACUUAA
rnacentral:misc_RNA from 3 species